rfam:Rhodobacter vinaykumarii strain DSM 18714 genome assembly, contig: Ga0111635_106
GAGAGGUUGGCUCGGGCAGGCGCCUUGCCAACCCGGUCAGGUCCGGAAGGAAGCAGCCGUAACAAGUCCCGUCUGGGUCGAUGUCCAGCCUCUCACU